UACGAAGGGGGCUAGCGUUGCUCGGAAUCACUGGGCGUAAAGGGUGCGUAGGCGGCCAACUAAGUCAGACGUGAAAUCCCUCGGCUUAACCGGGGAACUGCGUCUGAUACUGGAUGGCUUGAAUCCGGGAGAGGGAUGCGGAAUUCCAGGUGUAGCGGUGAAAUGCGUAGAUAUCUGGAGGAACACCGGUGGCGAAGGCGGCAUCCUGGACCGGCAUUGACGCUGAGGAGCGAAAGCCAGGGGAGCAAACGGG
rnacentral:rRNA from 1 species